rnacentral:ncRNA from 2 species
ACGUUCUCAACGGGGUGCUGAUAAAGCUGAGAAAAUACCCGUCGAACCUGAUCCGGAUAAUGCCGGCGAAGGGAUUUGAGGCUGGUGCUCAA